rnacentral:tRNA from 1 species
GGGGUUGUGGCUCAGAGGUAGAGUGCUCACCUUGCAUGUGCGAGGUCCUGGGUUUGAUCCUCAGCACCACA